rnacentral:rRNA from 1 species
GACGAACGCUGGCGGCGUGCCUAAUACAUGCAAGUCGAACGCUUCUUUCCUCCCGAGUGCUUGCACUCAAUUGGAAAGAGGAGUGGCGGACGGGUGAGUAACACGUGGGUAACCUACCCAUCAGAGGGGGAUAACACUUGGAAACAGGUGCUAAUAUCGCAUAACAGUUUAUGCCGCAUGGCAUAAGAGUGAAAGGCGCUUUCGGGUGUCGCUGAUGGAUGGACCCGCGGUGCAUUAGCUAGUUGGUGAGGUAACGGCUCACCAAGGCCACGAUGCAUAGCCGACCUGAGAGGGUGAUCGGCCACACUGGGACUGAGACACGGCCCAGACUCCUACGGGAGGCAGCAGUAGGGAAUCUUCGGCAAUGGACGAAAGUCUGACCGAGCAACGCCGCGUGAGUGAAGAAGGUUUUCGGAUCGUAAAACUCUGUUGUUAGAGAAGAACAAGGGCGUUAGUAACUGAACGUCCCCUGACGGUAUCUAACCAGAAAGCCACGGCUAACUACGUG